UGGGUAACCUGCCUCAAAGAGGGGAAUAGCCUCCCGAAAGGGAGAUUAAUACCGCAUAAUAUGUUUUAAUCGCAUGAUUUUAACAUCAAAGGAUUUUCUUCGGAACUUCCACUUUGAGAUGGACCCGCGGCGCAUUAGCUAGUUGGUGAGGUAACGGCUCACANAG
rnacentral:rRNA from 1 species